UCCCAAAACUUCAAUCCGUUCCCAAAGCUUCCAGUCUCCGGUUCAUUGACGAAAACACGGCGCGGAGCUCCAUAAGACCGCUAUGGAGAGUGAACGACAAUUUUUCUGAUGGUGGUAGAUUCGCUGGGUGGUUAAGGAGUUGACGAGAUCCCCGACAGCGGGGGUGGGUGAGUCAGAUUGGGAUUCCGGCGAUGGCUUGGUUGUGAUUCCCAUUGUCCAUUGGAGCUUCUUCAAGUACAUAUCAGUUACUCAGUUUUUCAGAAGAAGAAGAAAGCUGAAGUGAAACAACAGUAGAAGAAGCACUAUGAACUUAAACAGAUUUUUUCUAGUAUUAUUUGACUAUGUUUUAAGUAUCCAAGUGAACUAUUCUAUGGUGUAGUGUAUUUUUUUAUGAUGGUGGCAACUGGUUGGCAUCUCUUUGUUGUUGACUUCUGAGUUGAUAUACUCAUUAAAGCUUAAGUUUGCUGGAUUUUUUUUUGAA